GACAGAGGCCUCGAGCGUUAGGCGGAAUCACUGGGCUUAAAGCGUGUGUAGGCGGGCCCGUAAGUACCUUGUGAAAUCCCACGGCUCAACCGUGGAACGGCUGGGUAUACUGCGGGUCUUGGGCCAACUAGGGGCAGCCGGAACAAGCGGUGGAGCGGUGAAAUGCGUAGAUAUCGCUUGGAACGCCAACGGUGAAAACAGGUUGCUGGGGGUGUGCUGACGCUGAGACACGAAAGCCAGGGGAGCGAACGGG
rnacentral:rRNA from 1 species